rnacentral:rRNA from 1 species
AUACGUAGGUGACAAGCGUUAUCAGGAUUUACUGGGCGUAAAGGGCGUGUAGGCGGUCUUGCAAGUCAGAAGUGAAAUUCCUGAGCUCAACUCGGGCGCUGCUUCUGAAACUGCAGGACUUGAGUGCUGGAGGGGAUAGCGGAAUUCCUAGUGGAGCGGUAAAAUGCGCAGAUAUUAGGAAGAACACCGGUUGCGAAGGCGGCUAUCUGGACAGUAACUGGCGCUGAGGCGCGAAAGCUUGGGGAGAAAACAGGAUUAUUUACCCUGUUAGGCCACGCCGUAAACGAUGAAUACUAGGUGUAUGGGGUAUCGACUCCCUCUGUGCCGCAGUUAACACAAUAAGUAUUCCGCCUGGGGAGUACGGCCGCAAGGUUGAAACUCAAAUGAAUUGGCGGGG